GAUGAAGAACGUAGCGAAAUGCGAUACGUAAUGUGAAUUGCAGAAUUCAGUGAAUCAUCGAAUCUUUGAACGCAUAUUGCACUCUCUGGUAUUCCGGAGAGCAUGCUUGUUUGAGUAUCAGUAAACACCUCAACUCCCUUUUCUUUUUUGAAAUUGGAGCUGGACUUGAGUGAUCCCAACGCUUUCUUCCAAGAAAGUGGCGGGUUGCUUGAAAUGCAGGUGCAGCUGAACUUUUCUCUGAGCUAUAAGCAUAUCUAUUUAGUCUGCCUAAAAAACAGAUUAUUACCUUUGCUGCAGCUAACAUAAAGGAGACUAGUUCUUGUGCUGACUGAUGCAGGAUUCACAGAGACAGCUUCGGCUGACUUUGUAAACUCGAUCUCAAAUCAAGUAAGACUACCCGCUGAACUUAAGCAUAUCAAUAAGCGGAGGA
rnacentral:misc_RNA from 1 species